rnacentral:misc_RNA from 1 species
AAACUACAAGAACCAAGCAUAUAACUACGGCAAUGCUGGGAUGCUACAAUAAGGUUAUACCAAAUCCAAAAUAACAUCAUUAUAAUCUGCGUAACAUACUAUGAAAUGCAUUUAGCAUAUGUAAGCCAUUCAGCAAGAAAUGACAUAUAUGCUAAGAGAAAAUCUCACUUAGUAACAAGCAUAUAACAACAGCAACACCUGAAUUCCAAAAGAAGAUAAAAUUGAAAAUCUUUGGUAAAUUGAAAAUCUUUGGUCAUGAUCAGCAUCA